UAUUGUUUUUCCUAUUGAGAAUGUCAAAUUAUAAGCUAUAAAUUCAAGGGAUAAUUUUGUAUUGUUAAUGUCAGAGAAAUGCUUUUUGAUUUUAGUUUGUUUAGUCUCAGUAUGAGUUACUUUUGGGAUACUUUAAUAUAAUAAUUCUGGCACAGAAUCUACUACAGAUUUCAGUGUUCUCUAUUUUCAUUUCACUCAAUGUAUUAAACACAGAUUAAUUGAGGCUGAAUUGCAUGUAGUCUAAGAUGCCAAAUACUUGCAUAGAAAGAAUUCAUAUUGAGAAUGAAAAGUAAUUCUGCUAAGAAAAGAACUGUUAAAACAACGAGGAGUAAUUACAUAUAUUUUUUACUUUAAAAUGCAGAAAAAAAUAUGUGCCAAAAUUCUGUAACCAUAUUUUUUCAAUUAUAAAACCAAUAUAAACAAAAAUACAUGUCUGAAUAGUAUUGUGGCUCUUUACCCGUAUGAAAGUGUUUAAACCAUCAAGUGAUAAAAUUUAGGUGAAAAGACGUUAUAAGUUAAAAUUCUGUAUAAAUUAAGAAUAGCUUUACUAGUAAAUUUUAAUAUUGUACAUAUGUUGUCAGAAGUGAUUAAGGUAAUUACAUACUCCAAUUAUUUUCCUUUUUUUGCAAAUAUAUCCACU
rnacentral:lncRNA from 1 species